rnacentral:rRNA from 1 species
GACGAACGCUGGCGGCGUGCUUAACACAUGCAAGUCGAACGGAAAGGCCCUGCUUUUGUGGGGUGCUCGAGUGGCGAACGGGUGAGUAACACGUGAGUAACCUGCCCUUGACUUUGGGAUAACUUCAGGAAACUGGGGCUAAUACCGGAUAGGAGCUCCUGCUGCAUGGUGGGGGUUGGAAAGUUUCGGCGGUUGGGGAUGGACUCGCGGCUUAUCAGCUUGUUGGUGGGGUAGUGGCUUACCAAGGCUUUGACGGGUAGCCGGCCUGAGAGGGUGACCGGCCACAUUGGGACUGAGAUACGGCCCAGACUCCUACGGGAGGCAGCAGUGGGGAAUAUUGCACAAUGGGCGGAAGCCUGAUGCAGCAACGCCGCGUGCGGGAUGACGGCCUUCGGGUUGUAAACCGCUUUCGCCUGUGACGAAGCGUGAGUGACGGUAAUGGGUAAAGAAGCACCGGCUAACUACGUGCCAGCAGCCGCGGUGAUACGUAGGGUGCGAGCGUUGUCCGGAUUUAUUGGGCGUAAAGGGCUCGUAGGUGGUUGAUCGCGUCGGAAGUGUAAUCUUGGGGCUUAACCCUGAGCGUGCUUUCGAUACGGGUUGACUUGAGGAAGGUAGGGGAGAAUGGAAUUCCUGGUGGAGCGGUGGAAUGCGCAGAUAUCAGGAGGAACACCAGUGGCGAAGGCGGUUCUCUGGGCCUUUCCUGACGCUGAGGAGCGAAAGCGUGGGGAGCGAACAGGCUUAGAUACCCUGGUAGUCCACGCUGUAAGCGGUGGGUACUAGGUGUGGGGUCCAUUCCACGGGUUCCGUGCCGUAGCUAACGCUUUAAGUACCCCGCCUGGGGAGUACGGCCGCAAGGCUAAAACUCAAAGGAAUUGACGGGGCCCCGCACAAGCGGCGGAGCAUGCGGAUUAAUUCGAUGCAACGCGUAGAACCUUACCUGGGUUUGACAUGGAUCGGGAGCGCUCAGAGAUGGGUGUGCCUCUUUUGGGGUCGGUUCACAGGUGGUGCAUGGCUGUCGCCAGCUCGUGUCGUGAGAUGUUGGGUUAAGUCCCGCAACGAGCGCAACCCUUGUUCACUGUUGCCAGCACGUUAUGGUGGGGACUCAGUGGAGACCGCCAGGGUCAACUCGGAGGAAGGUGGGGAUGACGUCAAGUCAUCAUGCCCCUUAUGUCCAGGGCUUCACGCAUGCUACAAUGGCUGGUACAGAGAGUGGCGAGCCUGUGAGGGUGAGCGAAUCUCGGAAAGCCGGUCUCAGUUCGGAUUGGGGUCUGCAACUCGACCUCAUGAAGUCGGAGUCGCUAGUAAUCGCAGAUCAGCAACGCUGCGGUGAAUACGUUCCCGGG